rnacentral:rRNA from 1 species
UACGGAGGGUGCGAGCGUUGUCCGGAAUCACUGGGCGUAAAGGGCGCGUAGGCGGCUUCUCAAGCGUGUGGUGAAAGUCCGGGGCUCAACCCCGGAUCGGCCGUGCGGACUGGGGAGCUCGAGUUCUGUAGAGGCGGGUGGAAUUCCGGGUGUAGCGGUGGAAUGCGUAGAGAUCCGGAAGAACACCGGCGGCGAAGGCGGCCCGCUGGGCAGAGACUGACGCUGAGGCGCGACAGCGUGGGGAGCAAACAGG